UUUCUAAUGCGUGUCUAUUUAUAUUAGGUGCUGCUACAGCUGUACCCACCAUUCUCAUUCUUUUGUUUAUGAUCCUAAUUUUUCGGAUCGACGCGUGUUUUUUGGAUCAGGCUCCAUCCGCGGCGGCGUCCAGUGGGCGGCGAUUCCUAGGUGGAGGAAACGGCGACGAGCAGCGGCAUCGGGAGGAAGACACUACUGCAUACCCUCUACAUCGAUCCCGUAUCCACAUGGCGGGUGGCGGUCAUGUUUCCGUCUGGCGAUGUCCCCAGUGUCGCCGCCGCUGCCAAGGUGCUCGUCCUUGCUGAUGGGGAUGGGUGGAUCUGGAAUGGGUUCAUCGUUGGAAGACGUCCCACUGUGCCGGUGCUGGUGUGAUCCAAGGAGACCACGGACGAACGGCAUUGAUGGAGACAGGUUUGUUCAGCAUCGCCUUCUCGUCUCAACCAUCGUCCCCGGAUUGGUGGUAGUGCUCGCGAGGCAAGGAGGACACCAGAUGCAAACUGUAAAUCUGGUCUUGAUUCGUGGAAUGUAAGCAAGGUCUCCCAUGCUGGUGGCAGGCGAAGCUUCCUCCUGCCGGUCAUGGGCAACACGCCGUCGUCUGCCCGGCCGGCCUCGACCACCUCCUAACGGCCUCGAUUGUGACCGCACGCAAGAGGGAUGCCCCCAGCUUAGUUACCGCUGGCGCCAUGCUGCUGGUACCGGGCCGGACUCCGAAUCCGUGGUCUUCGUUGUCGGAGGCAGGCUUUGUCAGUCACCACCAUCGGCGGAGCUUCUCCAUCGCGUGUAGUUGACGGGCCUGUUGUCCCUCAACUCCUGCUUUCUGCUCAUCAAGGGAUGGGCAAAGAACGUUUUUGGGUGGGUGUCUGUUGAGCACAGCGUCAAGGCCGGCUGCGACGUCGCCGGGUCACCGGGAAAGCACAGAUUGUCACCAUUGCAGGCUAUCCAGUGCAGGGCGGGGUGCCAUUCCUCCUACCAGAACAGAAGAACGUUUAUAGUCCCGUUGGUAACCCCCUUUAGUCCCGGUUUGUGUUACCAACCGGGACUAAAGAUCGGUGCACUAUUUUUUUUUAUUUGCAUAGCCCUGUUUGCUGCAUG